rnacentral:rRNA from 1 species
CAGCAGUCGAGAAUCAUUCACAAUGGGGGAAACCCUGAUGGUGCGACGCCGCGUGGGGGAAUGAAGGUCUUCGGAUUGUAAACCCCUGUCAUGUGGGAGCAAAUUAAAAAGAUAGUACCACAAGAGGAAGAGACGGCUAACUCUGUGCCAGCAGCCGCGGUAAUACAGAGGUCUCAAGCGUUGUUCGGAAUCACUGGGCGUAAAGCGUGCGUAGGCUGUUUCGUAAGUCGUGUGUGAAAGGCGCGGGCUCAACCCGCGGACGGCACAUGAUACUGCGAGACUAGAGUAAUGGAGGGGGAACCGGAAUUCUCGGUGUAGCAGUGAAAUGCGUAGAUAUCGAGAGGAACACUCGUGGCGAAGGCGGGUUCCUGGACAUUAACUGACGCUGAGGCACGAAGGCCAGGGGAGCGAAAGGGAUUAGA